rnacentral:rRNA from 1 species
UACGUAGGUGGCAAGCGUUGUCCGGAAUUAUUGGGCGUAAAGGGCGCGUAGGCGGCGUCGUAAGUCGGUCUUAAAAGUGCGGGGCUUAACCCCGUGAGGGGACCGAAACUGCGAUGCUAGAGUAUCGGAGAGGAAAGCGGAAUUCCUAGUGUAGCGGUGAAAUGCGUAGAUAUUAGGAGGAACACCAGUGGCGAAAGCGGCUUUCUGGACGACAACUGACGCUGAGGCGCGAAAGCCAGGGGAGCAAACGGG